rnacentral:rRNA from 1 species
CCGGUGGCCAACCUUGUGAGGGAGCCGUCGAAGGUGGGAUCCGCGAUUGGGGUG